rnacentral:rRNA from 1 species
GGCGUCCUCCACUCACGCGGCGUUGUCUUCGGGCAGCGUCGUAGCGAGGCGCCUUGCGAAUGAAUGAAAGUAAAACCCACGCCCUUCACGGGGCAGCAACACUGAGUAGUGUUGAAUCAAUUCAUUCCGUGCGAAAGCCGGUUUACCGGCGUCUUCUGAUGAACAACUGCCCUAUCAGCCAGUGAUGGCCGUGUAGUGGACUGCCAUGGCGUUGACGGGAGCGGGGGAUUAGGGUUCGAUUCCGGAGAGGGAGCCUGAGAAACGGCUACCACUUCUACGGAGGGCAGCAGGCGCGUAAAUUGCCCAAUGACAAAAAAUGUUGAGGCAGCGAAAAGAAAUAGGUCUCUUUGACGUCUCUACGGCGUCAGGGAGUUGCAAUGGGGGAUAUUUAAAGCCAUCCAAUAUCGAGUAACAAUUGGAGGACAAGUCUGGUGCCAGCACCCGCGGUAAUUCCAGCUCCAAGAGCGUAUAUUAACGCUGUUGCUGUUAAAGGGUUCGUAGUUGAACUGAGGGCUGUCAAGGAGACGGAUCCGUCCCAUCCACCGGAUCGGUGACCUCCGCUCUUGCG